AUACUUGUAAAGGAACUCGGCAAAUUGUCUUCAUAAGUUAGACGAUAUGAAGAACCAUUUUAAGGCCCUCCCCCACGGGGAGGGCACUAAAAUGGUGUCACAGAAUCGGAGGCCCCGACUGUUUACCUAAAACACAGCUUUCUGCUACGAAGAAUAUUCUGUGUAUAGAAAGCGAAUUUUGCCCAAUGCCAUUAAUAUAAGGUUGAUAAGCGCAUAGCGUAUUUAUUAAUUGAAGUUCUGGUCAAUGGCGGUCUUAUCUAUGAGGAUCCUAAGGUAGCAAAAUUAAUUGUCCAUUAAAUGUGGUCCUGACUGAAUAAAGUAACGAUGGUCUCACUGUCUCUACAAGUAUCUCAGUGAAAUUGAAUUAGCCGUGCAGAUGCGGUUUAACUUCG
rnacentral:rRNA from 1 species